AAGCGCUCCCGACGAAUUUUUCGGAAGGAAUCGGGAGCGACUUAAUGGCGGACGGGUGAGUAACGCGUGGGUAACCUGCCCCGUACCGGGGGAUAACGGUUAGAAAUGACUGCUAAUACCGCUUAAGCGCACAAGGUCGCAUGGCCGCGCGCGAAAAACUCCGGUGGUAUGGGAUGGGCCCGCGUCUGAUUAGCUAGUUGGCGGGGUAACGGCCCACCAAGGCGACGAUCAGUAGCCGACCUGAGAGGGUGGCCGGCCACAUUGGGACUGAGACACGGCCCAGACUCCUACGGGAGGCAGCAGUGGGGGAUAUUGCACAAUGGGGGGAACCCUGAUGCAGCGACGCCGCGUGGGUGAAGGAGUGCUUCGGCAUGUAAAGCCCUAUCGGCAGGGAAGAAGCAAGACAAAACAAAACUAAGAAGCCCCGGCUAACUACGUGCCAGCAGCCGCGGUAAUACGUAGGGGGCGAGCGUUAUCCGGAUUCACUGGGUGUAAAGGGAGCGUAGACGGCCAAGCAAGCCAGGGGUGAAAGCCCGGGGCCCAACCCCGGGACUGCCCUUGGAACUGCAUGGCUGGAGUGCGGGAGGGGCAGGCGGAAUUCCUGGUGUAGCGGUGAAAUGCGUAGAUAUCAGGAGGAACACCGGCGGCGAAGGCGGCCUGCUGGACCGCGACUGACGUUGAGGCUCGAAAGCGUGGGG
rnacentral:rRNA from 1 species